GUAAGUAUAGUUUAACUUAAAAUAUCAGAUUGUGAUUCUAAAGACAGAGGUUAAAAUCCUCUUACUCACC
rnacentral:tRNA from 1 species